CUCUGUUUCUCCUGGCCCUUUUAUAACCCUCUAAGAAACACUUAACUGCCUAGUCUGGAGAAAUAUGUCAGUGUUAUUUACUUAUGAGACAUUGCAUUGAAUUUGUAGAUUUUCAUUGCAUUCUAAAAUAUUUGGAAAAUUCUAGUUUGUAAAAAUUUGAUAAUGUUUGAACUGACCAUAUGGCUAAUACGUGAAUGAGUCAAAAGUAUUAAUCAAAUACAUUAUAAGUAUGAGUAGGUAUAUUCAUUAACGUUGGCAGUGCUAUGUUUGGACAGAAAGAAAAAUAUCUUGAAUGGGAUACAAAAGGAAGUUGUGAAGAGUACCUUACCAAAAAUUCUUUAAAAGUAGCCAAUGGCAUCAUUCACUUGGAUUGGGAGCUUACUGUAACAGAAAUGGGAUUCUGUAACAUGCAACUGAAAAAGUCAUCCCUAACACGAAAUUUCUUGAUGGUAAGUUAAACAUGUUGGUAAAUAAAAACAGCAUAGGAAAGCAUAUUUUCCAAAUUAACAGUUUAGACCAAAACCUCACCUCUGUGAAGUGUCUCUUAGGCAUUACUUUACUGCUUACUGUGUGCUAAGAUGGCCUACCAAAAAGAUAAAUUGUAACCCAGAACCAAGAAUUUGUGGUUUACUUAGACUCCCCUAACAACCCAGGCUACAGAAUUGCUGAUACAAGAAAUAUGGCAUCAAAUUGCCUACAUACUUCCUUAUUAAUAGAUUACAGAUAUAUCUAGUACUUUAUCUUAAAUGUAGAUUAAUUUUAUAAACAAUAAUAACAUGAUUUCAUAUUUGUUAUGUAUUUGUUUUGUAUUUGUAUUUGUUAUGAGUGAAUGUAUAUUAUAUAUAAUUAUGUUAUUAUAUAUAAUAUAUGAUUAUAGUGUAUAUAAUGUUCAUAGUUAAAUGCUGGAGUCCUCUUGUUUUCUGUAGCCUCUAAUGCAAUACCGAAAGAAUAAAACCAGAGUGAUGGAUACUUGGUGAGUACAAAAAUGCUAUGUUGGAAUAGGUUGUUUGUUGAUGAAUGAAAAAAAUUAAAAUAUCCUUUUGUGUUAAAUUGUUUUUCUUUUGGAAGGACUAUGCUAUAAGAAAUGCAAUAAAGCUUUCUCUUUUCUU